UCCCUGGUAGCUUAAUGGUAGAGCGGGCGGCUGUUAACCGCCAGGCUGUAGGUCCGAGUCCUACCCGGGGAGCCA
rnacentral:tRNA from 1 species